AAAAAAAAAUGAAGACAACAUAAGUGAGAGUGCAAGAGAGAUUUUUUUUUUUAAUUUUAGUUUCUUCUAUUCUACCUUUUACCAAAGCUAUAGCUACCAUCUUGAAUCAAAUGCCGCAACAGGAUUUUUAUAUUGACAUUGCUCAGUAAUCCUGGUGAAUUUGAAGUACGGGUGGCAUGGUAAACGACUGGUUAGAGCGUCUGCCUCACAGUUCUGAGGUCUGGGGUUCACAUCCUGGCCCCGACUGUGUGGAGUUUGGAUAUUAUUCCUUUGCCUGCUUGGGUUUUCUCUGGGAACUCCAGUUUCCUCCCACAUCCAAAAAACAAACUUGUGGAUUAAAAAUCCUACCUGUAAGAGUGCAAUGAAGAGGAAAAAAGCAUUGGCUGCCCUCCUGAACUGCGAGUAGAGGAAUCUCGGAAGAAAGGUGUGUAAGGAGUUCUGCAUGACAGUGGGAGCAGCAGCCAGCCUGCCCUCCAGCUAUCAUCCCCAAUCCAACCCCAGAUGGUGGGGGCGAAUCAAAACUUGGAAUCUCCUUUUUGCUGUGUUGCUAUUCCCAAUUCAAUAUCCUGGAGCACCUUUCUACCAUACAUGAAAUAUUCCCACA